GGGGCCAUAGCUCAGUUGGGAGAGCGCUUGAAUGGCAUUCAAGAGGUCGUGAGUUCGAUUCUCAUUGGCUCCACCA
rnacentral:tRNA from 1 species